GACGAACGCUGGCGGCGUGCUUAACACAUGCAAGUCGAACGAAGUGGCGAACGGGUGAGUAACGCGUAAUCAACCUGCCCUUCAGAGGGGGACAACAGUUGGAAACGACUGCUAAUACCGCAUACUGAAGGUGGGGAUUGCGUCUGAUUAGCUAGUUGGAGGGGUAACGGCCCACCAAGGCGAUGAGCAGUAGGCGGUCUGAGAGGAUGAACGGCCACAUUGUGACUGAGACACGGCCCAGACGUCUACGGGAGGCAGCAGUGGGGAAUCUUCCGCAAGGGACGAAAGUCUGACGGAGGAACGCGGCGUGAGUGAUGCCGGCAUUCGGGUUGGAAAGCUCUGUUAAUCGGGACGCGGUACCGGAAUAGAAAGCCACGGCUAACUACGUGCCAGCCGCCGCGGUAAUUC
rnacentral:rRNA from 1 species